GAUGAACGCUGGCGGCGUGCUUAACACAUGCAAGUCGAACGGUGAACACGGAGCUUGCUCUGUGGGAUCAGUGGCGAUCGGGUGAGUAACACGUGAGCAACCUGCCCCUGACUCUGGGAUAAGCGCUGGAAACGGCGUCUAAUACUGGAUAUGUGACGUGACCGCAUGGUCUGCGUUUGGAAAGAUUUUUCGGUUGGGGAUGGGCUCGCGGCCUAUCAGCUUGUUGGUGAGGUAAUGGCUCACCAAGGCGUCGACGGGUAGCCGGCCUGAGAGGGUGACCGGCCACACUGGGAUUGAGACACGGCCCAGACUCCUACGGGAGGCAGCAGUGGGGAAUAUUGCACAAUGGGCGAAAGCCUGAUGCAGCAACGCCGCGUGAGGGAUGACGGCCUUCGGGUUGUAAACCUUUUUUAGCAGGGAAGAAGCGAAAGUGACGGUACCUGCAGAAAAAGCGCCGGCUAACUACGUG
rnacentral:rRNA from 1 species